ACACUGAAAACAGUGGUUCUCAUUUGAUCACCAAAGUUAAGCAGUAUUGAUCCCAGUCAGUACUUAGAUGGGAGACCACAUGGGAAUACCA